rnacentral:rRNA from 1 species
AGUGAACGCUGGCGGUAGGCCUAACACAUGCAAGUCGAACGGCAGCACAGUAAGAGCUUGCUCUUACGGGUGGCGAGUGGCGGACGGGUGAGGAAUACAUCGGAAUCUACUUUUUCGUGGGGGAUCACGUAGGGAAACUUACGCUAAUACCGCAUACGACCUACGGGUGAAAGCAGGGGAUCUUCGGACCUUGCGCGAUUGAAUGAGCCGAUGUCGGAUUAGCUAGUUGGCGGGGUCAAGGCCCACCAAGGCGACGAUCCGUAGCUGGUCUGAGAGGAUGAUCAGCCACACUGGAACUGAGACACGGUCCAGACUCCUACGGGAGGCAGCAGUGGGGAAUAUGGGACAAUGGGCGCAAGCCUGAUCCAGCCAUACCGCGUGGGUGAAGAAGGCCUUCGGGUUGUAAAGCCCUUUUGUUGGGAAAGAAAAGCAGCAGGUUAAGACCCCGCUGUUCUGACGGUACCCAAAGAAUAAGCACCGGCUAACUUCGUG